rnacentral:tRNA from 2 species
GUUAUUUUGGCAGAUUAGUGCAAUGAAUUUAGAAUUCAUAAAUGUAUAUUAUACAAAUAAUA